rnacentral:rRNA from 1 species
UACAACUUUCAACAACGGAUCUCUUGGCUCUCGCAUCGAUGAAGAACGCAGCGAAAUGCGAUACGUAAUGUGAAUUGCAGAAUUCAGUGAAUCAUCG